rnacentral:lncRNA from 1 species
UUCCAUCUCCACAAUCAGCUUCGAGAGCAACAUGUCCCUUCAAACGCACCCUUCCCUCCAUUCCCUCCAACAAUCUCCCGCUUAUCCGGAUCCGUGAAGGCCAUUUUAUUCUCCUCCUAUGGAAAGCUCUUCUCCGACCACCAAGACUCCCAGAUCCGCGCAUGGAAGGUUCUGACCUACAACCGCUACCACAACAAGCUCAUCGCCGCCCUCCCGACGAUCCUCAGACCGCCUCUGCCACUUUUCGCUUCCCUUCCAAAUCAUCAUAUGUCUAUACACGAGGUCGUUAGAGGAGAGAUCCGACGCGGCUGCAUCGCUAGUUCCGUUGUUGCUGAAGCAGUCGAAGGAUUAGGCUACGAAAUCACGCACAUUAUCAGCAUUAAUCAGAAUUGGUUUGUUAUGCAUCGCUCAAUCACGGAUAACGUUCUUCUCGCCCAGGAAUUGAUGCAUUACCUCAAACUGCAUAGCUUUGGCAACCGUGACUACAUGGCACUUAAAGUUGACAUGAAAAAAGUAUAUGAUUGUGUUGAAUGGGCAUUCCUCUUCCUAGUACUAGAAGGCUUAGGAUUUUCCUAGGUUUAGCUGAAUCUAGUUUGAGAGUGUCUUAGUUUUGUCACAGUUUUGGUUCUGGUGAAUGGCACCUCAUAUGGCUUCUUUUCGCCCUCGUGGUCUGCGCCAGGGUAACCUCUUUUCUCCACUGAUUUUCACCUUAUGCUCGGAGGAUCUAACCCGGCUAUCCGAAGGCCAUCUACCAGUGCAAAUCCUACAUGGCAUCCAAAUUAAUUUCCGAGCACCAAUGAUCUCACACUUGAUGUUCAGAGAUGAUACGAUUCUCUUCCUCUGGGUGUCGCCAAAAGCAAUAGAAACGCUCUCGGCCCUCCUUGCCCGGUAUGGAUCUCUGAGCGGGAAGCGGGUUAACUACGCUAAAUCCUUAGUCCCGUUCAUUAUAAUGUCUCUCUCUCCAUACCAAACGUUUAUGCCGGACAGCAGGGGACUCUGUUGGCUCUCGAUUCAGACUGUUAUUUGGUCGUCGGCUGCAAGCGUGAUUGUCUCUCCCUAUUGGUAUCCACACCUUGCUGAGAUUAGUGAUCGCAUGACUACUAAUCUAUACCACGUCCUGCUUUGGCCUCCCUGGCGAGAUGUGCGAGCGGCUCACAAAAAAAUGAGGGACUUUUGGUGGGGCCAUGUCGGUGACAAUCAUAAACUUACCUGAUUAGCCGGGGACAUCCUCUGCCUUCCGCAGUCCGAGGGUUUCGGUGCUUCCGAUGCUUCCGUUUGUUCAAUCAGGCAGUGCUUGCCAACCACUCCUUGCGCUUGCUAGAAAAUCCCGAUAGUCUUCUGGCAUGAGUGUUUCGUGCUAAGUACCACUCGUACCAUCAUCUCUUAGAGGCUCAUGCUGGUUCUCGGCCUUCCUGGGGUUGGCAGAGCAUGCCGUAUGGACGUAAGCUCCUCCUCCUGGGACUUUGUUGCCAGGUAGGUGAUGGUCGUCGAUUCACGUCCUGCGUGACCCCUAGCUUCCAGGCCUUGGUCCUCGUCACCCGUAUCCACUCAACACGGGUCACUACACUAGGCCUUCCUGGGUGAGUGACUUCACCCAACCAUCCUCUGGCGCUCCAUCAACCGUCUAAUGCCGGACCAAGGGUUGCGGAUUGUAAUCCUCUUAUGUCGUAUAUGGAAAUCUUGAAAUUUAGUUUUCUUUGAACGGUGUUAGCUGAUGCCUGAGGUUCUGCUCCGACAGUUCCGAUUACAGAUUUCAGAGCUUCCCCUCCUCCAGCCUCCUCUGCUUCCUCACAUCCUUUAGCCUCUAGUGCUCCGGUCAUUGGUUGGCAUGUCCCUACGGCUCCGCAGCUAAAAAUUAAUGUUGACGGGGUUGUUUGGCUCCCACUGGCGAAGCAAUAGGGUUGGUUGUUCGGGAUGUAGGGGGUGUAGUGUUAGAAGGUUGAGGGCGGGCAUAGCCAGGAUUUCUUGACCCAUAUGUUUUGGAACUCCUGGCUGUGCGUGAUGCUUGUGAGUGGUGUCGUCGGCACACCGCUUGGCAGUUGGACAUAGUGGGUGAUGAGGAGCUGGUCCAUUCCAGGGUUUCUCAGCGGAGCACUACUCGGGUGGUGCCAUCAUUACAAAGAUCUCGGCCUUCCUCUAAGCUCGCUCUCCGCUCCGGUUGCAUGUGGUUCGACGGUCUGCUAACGGAGCGGCCCAUUCAAUGGCUUUACGAGCGCUUUUAUGUCUCUCAGGCGGCAUGGAGGCAGAUAUCAUUGCCUGGGUCGAUUAUUAAAUUUAUUGUGUUGUGUACUAUCUUGAUUUCUCUUUUAUGGAACUAUCUUUGUAAAAGAAAGGCACAUCAUUGGUAAAUUCCUAAUUUCGUCUCUCCUUAGACCCUCUUAGUGAAA